AGAAUCAACGCUGGCGGCGUGCCUAACACAUGCAAGUCGAACGCGAAAGCCCCGCAAGGGGCAAGUAGAGUGGCAAACGGGUGAGUAACACGUGGGUGACCUGCCUUCGAGCGGGGGAUAACGUCCCGAAAGGGACGCUAAUACCGCAUAACAUCCUGCCUUUGAAGAGGUGGAGAUCAAAGCUGGGGAUCGCAAGACCCGGCACUUGAAGAGGGCCCGCGUCUGAUUAGCUAGGUUGGUGGGGUAACGCCUACAAGGCAACGAUCAGUAUCCGGCUGAGAGGGCGGACGACACGACGUGGACUGAGACGACGGACCCAGACUCCGUACGGGAGCAGCAGGU
rnacentral:rRNA from 1 species